GAUGAACGCUGGCGGCGUGCCUAAUACAUGCAAGUCGAGCGAACAGACGAGGAGCUUGCUCCUCUGACGUUAGCGGCGGACGGGUGAGUAACACGUGGAUAACCUACCUAUAAGACUGGGAUAACUUCGGGAAACCGGAGCUAAUACCGGAUAAUAUAUUGAACCGCAUGGUUCAAUAGUGAAAUACGGUUUUGCUGUCACUUAUAGAUGGAUCCGCGCCGCAUUAGCUAGUUGGUAAGGUAACGGCUUACCAAGGCAACGAUGCGUAGCCGACCUGAGAGGGUGAUCGGCCACACUGGAACUGAGACACGGUCCAGACUCCUACGGGAGGCGGCAGUAGGGAAUCUUCCGCAAUGGGCGAAAGCUUGACGGAGCAACGCCGCGUGAGUGAUGAAGGUCUUCGGAUCGUAAAACUCUGUUAUUAGGGAAGAACAAAUGUGUAAGUAACUAUGCACGUCUUGACGGUACCUAAUCAGAAAGCCACGGCUAACUACGUG
rnacentral:rRNA from 1 species